CAACGCUGGCGGCGUGCCUAAUACAUGCAAGUCGAGCGGAAUGAUGAAGAAGCUUGCUUCUUCUGAUUUUAGCGGCGGACGGGUGAGUAACACGUGGGCAACCUACCUUGUAGAUUGGGAUAACUCCGGGAAACCGGGGCUAAUACCGAAUAAUCCAUUUUGCUUCAUGGCGAGAUGUUGAAAGACGGUUUCGGCUGUCACUACAAGAUGGGCCCGCGGCGCAUUAGCUAGUUGGUAGGGUAAUGGCCUACCAAGGCGACGAUGCGUAGCCGACCUGAGAGGGUGAUCGGCCACACUGGGACUGAGACACGGCCCAGACUCCUACGGGAGGCAGCAGUAGGGAAUCUUCCACAAUGGACGAAAGUCUGAUGGAGCAACGCCGCGUGAGUGAAGAAGGUUUUCGGAUCGUAAAACUCUGUUGUUAGGGAAGAAUACGUACGAGAGUAACUGCUCGUACCUUGACGGUACCUAACCAGAAAGCCACGGCUAACUACGUG
rnacentral:rRNA from 1 species